rnacentral:rRNA from 1 species
GUCGAGCGAUGAAGCUCCUUCGGGAGCGGAUUAGCGGCGGACGGGUGAGUAACACGUGGGUAACCUGCCUCAUAGAGGGGAAUAGCCUUUCGAAAGGAAGAUUAAUACCGCAUAAGAUUGUAGUGCCGCAUGGCAUAGCAAUUAAAGGAGUAAUCCGCUAUGAGAUGGACCCGCGUCGCAUUAGCUAGUUGGUGAGGUAACGGCUCACCAAGGCGACGAUGCGUAGCCGACCUGAGAGGGUGAUCGGCCACAUUGGGACUGAGACACGGCCCAGACUCCUACGGGAGGCAGCAGUGGGGAAUAUUGCACAAUGGGGGAAACCCUGAUGCAGCAACGCCGCGUGAGUGAUGACGGUCUUCGGAUUGUAAAGCUCUGUCUUCAGGGACGAUAAUGACGGUACCUGAGGAGGAAGCCACGGCUAACUACGUGCCAGCAGCCGCGGUAAUACGUAGGUGGCAAGCGUUGUCCGGAUUUACUGGGCGUAAAGGGAGCGUAGGUGGAUAUUUAAGUGGGAUGUGAAAUACUCGGGCUUAACCUGGGUGCUGCAUUCCAAACUGGAUAUCUAGAGUGCAGGAGAGGAAAGUAGAAUUCCUAGUGUAGCGGUGAAAUGCGUAGAGAUUAGGAAGAAUACCAGUGGCGAAGGCGACUUUCUGGACUGUAACUGACACUGAGGCUCGA